CCUACGGGAGGCUGCAGUGGGGAAUAUUGCACAAUGGGGGAAACCCUGAUGCAGCGACGCCGCGUGGGUGAAGGAGUAUCUCGGUACGUAAAGCUCUAUCAGCAGGGAAGAUCAUUGCCGUUACUUGACAAAGAACCACCGGCAAAAUACGUGCCAGCAGCCGCGGUAAUACGUAUGGUGCAAGCGUUAUCCGGAUUUAUUGGGUGAAAAGGGAGCGCAGGCGGCGCGUUAAGCCUGGUGUGAAAGUCCGGGGCCCAACCGCGGGACUGCAUUGGGAACUGGCGCGCUGGAGUGCCGGAGGGGUAAGCGGAAUUCCUAGUGUAGCGGUGAAAUGCGUAGAUAUUAGGAGGAACACCAGUGGCGAAGGCGGCCUACUGGACGGUAACUGACGCUGAGGCUCGAAAGCGUGGGGAGCAAACAGGAUUAGAUACCCGGGUAGUC
rnacentral:rRNA from 1 species